UACGGGGGGAGCAAGCGUUGUUCGGAUUUACUGGGCGUAAAGGGCGCGUAGGCGGCCUCCGCAAGUCAGUUGUGAAAUCUCCGAGCUUAACUCGGAACUGUCAGCUGAUACUGUUUUGCUAGAGUGCGGAAGGGGCAAUCGGAAUUCUUGGUGUAGCGGUGAAAUGCGUAGAUAUCAAGAGGAACACCUGAGGUGAAGACGGGUUGCUGGGCCGACACUGACGCUGAGUGCGCGAAAGCCAGGGGAGCAAACGGG
rnacentral:rRNA from 1 species